rnacentral:rRNA from 1 species
UACGUAGGGUGCAAGCGUUAAUCGGAAUUACUGGGCGUAAAGCGUGCGCAGGCGGUUGGUUAAGUCUGAUGUGAAAGCCCCGGGCUCAACCUGGGAAUGGCAUUGGAAACUGGCUGGCUAGAGUGUGGCAGAGGGGGGUGGAAUUCCGCGUGUAGCAGUGAAAUGCGUAGAGAUGCGGAGGAACACCGGUGGCGAAGGCGGCAUCCUGGACCAACACUGACACUGAGGAGCGAAAGCCAGGGGAGCAAACGGG